AAUAAACGCUGGCGGCGUGCCUAACACAUGCAAGUCGAGCGAGAAAGCUCCUUCGGGAGUUAGUAAAGCGGCGAACGGGUGAGCAACACGUGAGAAUCUACCCUUUAGUGAAGAAUACCCUCGAGAAAUCGAGGCUAAUACUGCAUACGUCCCUUCGGGGAGAAAGAUGGCCUCUUUGCUAUCGCUAAAGGAUGAGCUUGCGUACUAUUAGCUAGUUGGCGGGGUAAAGGCCCACCAAGGCAAUGAUGGUUAACCGGCCUGAGAGGGUGUACGGUCACACUGGAACUUAGACACGGUCCAGACUCCUACGGGAGGCAGCAGUGAGGAAUCUUGCGCAAUGGGCGAAAGCCUGACGCAGCGACGCCGCGUGGAGGAUGACGGUUUUCGGAUUGUAAACUCCUGUUAAGCGGGAAGAAAGCCUUGUUUCUAAUACAAGCAAGGUAUGACGGUACCGCUAGAGAAAGCACCGGCUAACUUCGUGCCAGCAGCCGCGGUAAUGUCGUCA
rnacentral:rRNA from 1 species